UACAGGGGGGGCAGGCGUUGUUCGGAAUUACUGGGCGUAAAGGGCUUGUAGGUGGCCAACUAAGUCACACGUGAAAUCCCCAGGCUUAACCUGGGAACUGCGUGUGAUACUGGAUGGCUUGAAUCCGGGAGAGGGAUGCGGAAUUCCAGGUGUAGCGGUGAAAUGCGUAGAUAUCUGGAGGAACACCGGUGGCGAAGGCGGCAUCCUGGACCGGUAUUGACACUGAAAAGCGAAAGCCAGGGGAGCAAACGGG
rnacentral:rRNA from 1 species